AUUGAACGCUGGCGGCAGGCCUAACACAUGCAAGUCGAGCGAGCGGCGGACGGGUGAGUAAUGUCUGGGAAACUGCCUGAUGGAGGGGGAUAACUACUGGAAACGGUAGCUAAUACCGCAUACCAUCAGAUGUGCCCAGAUGGGAUUAGCUAGUAGGUGGGGUAACGGCUCACCUAGGCGACGAUCCCUAGCUGGGCUGAGAGGAUGACCAGCCACACCGGAACUCAGACACGGUCCAGACUCCCACGGGAGGCAGCAGUGGGGAAUAUUGAACAAUGGGAGCAAGCCUGAUGCAGCCAUGCCGCGUGUGUGAAGAAGGCCUUCGGGUUGUAAAGCACUGUCAGCGGGGAUGCGUUACCCGCAGAAGAAGCACCGGCAAACUCCGUGCCAGCAGCCGCGGUAAUAC
rnacentral:rRNA from 1 species